AUGGCCCAAGCUGGCCAAUGGAGCCUCACAAUUAUUAACUUCUUAAUAUCUGCUGCACAUCCUCACAACACCUCUCUGAUGGGAGAUGCCUACGAGCUGGAAGUCUUAUUGCGGGUCAAGGAAUCAGAAAUACCAUACUUGAAACGAGAUUAGCUCCCUCAAGGACGAGCUGCAGACGGCACUUCGGGACAAGAAGUACGCUAGCGACAAGUACAAAGACAUCUACACAGAGCUCAGCAUUGCGAAGGCUAAGGCUGACUGUGACAUCAGCAGGUUGAAGGAGCAGCUCAAGGCUGCAACAGAAGCACUGGGGGAAAAGUCCCCUGACAGUGCCACGGUGUUGGGAUACGAUAUAAUGAAAUCUAAAAGCAACCCUGACUUCUUGAAGAAAGAUAGAUCCUGUGUCGCCCGGCAACUCAGAAACAUCAGGUCCAAGAGUCUGAAGGAAGGCCUGACGGUGCAAGAACGGUUGAAGCUCUUUGAAUCCAGGGACCUGAAGAGAGGCUAGCUGUGUCCUGUCCAAGUUGAGCAUGCGCCUUCCCCAGCUUGCAGCAGGACACCCUGAGCGCUGCUUUUCACCUGUACCUUUGUUUUAUUAUUAUUAUUGCUGUUGUCAUCGUUAACUGUGGGCAUGGAAUGCGUGAGGCUGGCUUCUGGGUUGUCCACACCACUCUGCUGUGUUGACUUCCUGUUGUUUUCAUCAAAGCUUUUCUCCAUGGUAUUGUAAAAUUAGGCCAGCAUUGGGGGCUGGGAGGGCAUCUGUGUUAGUCCCUUCCUGGCUGUGACCCGCUGCACUCACUGUCAGUAUUAAGGCCCAGCAGCCUGUUGAUAAGCUACCCUGUCUCACCACGUGCUGGUGUGGAAACAGGGCCCAGCCAGCAUGCCUCAAGGUAGAUGGAAUGGUCAGAGAAAAAGCCAUGCGGACACUCCAGCUUGGCCUGGGUCACAGCACUGACUCCUCACCGCUAGUCUGGCUGUUAGAGGAGGAGGUGCGUUGCCUUCCGGCCUGGCAGGAGAACAGUAUUUUGUAUUUGUUCCACUGAUGCAGAUUAGAACCACACCCCUGAUAAUCAUGGCAAACCUUUCACAACCUGGAAAAUGUUGAAAGCAACGAUUCCUAUUUUUGUUUUUUAUUAAAUCUUGCACACACAAAAAAAAA